rnacentral:snRNA from 1 species
GGAUGUGAGGGUGAUCUGGCUAUGACCUCUGUCACCUCAUUGGUCACCGGGGUUGAUUCAGGUUGUCCGCCUGGCUAGCUGGUUAUCCCCGUCCUCCCUCACUGCUCCAUGCGUGUCUCUCCUGAAGCUGCCUGCCUGAUCCAAGAAGAUGACCUUGCUCCAUAGAGGAGGAACAAGGUUGCUGGGUCAAGGGCAUGCAAAUAGCUGCUCUCCUUUGCUGGAGCCUCCAAACAAGCUCUCGAGGUUCCUUUAUAACAGACCUUAGGGCAGUCAAGCUUCCAAGACUCCAGACACAUCCAAUGAGGGGCUGCAUGUGGGGGCCUGGGUCCCUUU